UGGGGAAUUGUUCGCAAUGGGCGCAAGCCUGACGACGCAACGCCGCGUGGAGGAUGAAGACCUUCGGGUCGUAAACUCCUUUCGAUCGAGACGAAUGGCCUCCGGGUGAACAAUCCGGAGGAGUGACGGUACCGAGAGAAGAAGCCCCGGCUAACUCCGUGCCAGCAGCCGCGGUAAUACGGAGGGGGCAAGCGUUGUUCGGAAUUACUGGGCGUAAAGGGCUCGUAGGCGGCCAACUAAGUCAGACGUGAAAUCCCUCGGCUUAACCGGGGAACUGCGUCUGAUACUGGAUGGCUUGAGGUUGGGAGAGGUGCGUGGAACUCACGGUGUAGGGGUGAAAUCCGUUGAUAUCGUGGGGAACACCAAAGGCGAAGGCAGCGCACUGGCCAAAAUCUGACGCUCACACACGAAAGCUAGGGUAGCGAAGAGGAUUAGAUACCCCGGUAGUCCCUGAGCGGGCUGGCAAGGCGCAU
rnacentral:rRNA from 1 species